GCACGGGUGCGUAACGCGUGGGAAUUUACCCCUAGCUGCGGAAUAACCCAGAGAAAUUUGAGCUAAUACCGCAUAAUGUCGCAAGACCAAAGAUUUAUCGGCAAGGGAUGAGCCCGCGUAGGAUUAGCUUGUUGGUGAGGUAAAAGCUCACCAAGGCGACGAUCUUUAGCUGGUCUGAGAGGAUGAUCAGCCACACUGGGACUGAGACACGGCCCAGACUCCUACGGGAGGCAGCAGUGGGGAAUAUUGGACAAUGGGCGCAAGCCUGAUCCAGCAAUGCCGCGUGAGUGAUGAAGGCCUUAGGGUUGUAAAGCUCUUUUACUAGGGAUGAUAAUGACAGUACCUAGAGAAUAAGCUCCGGCUAACUCCGUGCCAGCAGCCGCGGUAAUACGGAGGGAGCUAGCGUUGUUCGGAAUUACUGGGCGUAAAGCGCGCGUAGGCGGCUCGUCAAGUCAGGGGUGAAAGCCCGGGGCUCAACCCCGGAACUGCCUUUGAAACUAGCGAGCUAGAAUCUUGUAGAGGUUAGCGGAAUUCCGAGUGUAGAGGUGAAAUUCGUAGAUAUUCGGAAGAACACCAGUGGCGAAGGCGGCUGGCUGGGCAAGAAUUGACGCUGAGGUGCGAAAGCGUGGGUAGCAAACAGGAUUAGAUACCCUGGUAGUCCACGCCGUAAACGAUGAUAACUAGCUAUUUGGUCUUUUGAAGACUGGGUGGCGC
rnacentral:rRNA from 1 species